rnacentral:sRNA from 1 species
UGCAUAACGAGCGAGAAAUAAGUCGCAAA